GGGCCCGUAGCUCAGCUAGGAUAGAGCGGCGGCCUGCGGAGCCGCAGGUCCCGGGUUCAAGUCCCGGCGGGCCCG
rnacentral:tRNA from 1 species